GGGUUGUGAGGUUAAGCGACUAAGCGUACACGGUGGAUGCCCUGGCAGUCAGAGGCGAUGAAGGACGUGCUAAUCUGCGAUAAGCGUCGGUAAGGUGAUAUGAACCGUUAUAACCGGCGAUUUCCGAAUGGGGAAACCCAGUGUGUUUCGACACACUAUCAUUAACUGAAUCCAUAGGUUAAUGAGGCGAACCGGGGGAACUGAAACAUCUAAGUACCCCGAGGAAAAGAAAUCAACCGAGAUUCCCCCAGUAGCGGCGAGCGAACGGGGAGCAGCCCAGAGCCUGAAUCAGUGUGUGUGUUAGUGGAAGCGUCUGGAAAGGCGCGCGAUACAGGGUGACAGCCCCGUACACAAAAAUGCACAUGCUGUGAGCUCGAUGAGUAGGGCGGGACACGUGGUAUCCUGUCUGAAU
rnacentral:rRNA from 1 species